AAAAAGUUAGUUAAUUUAUAACAUAAGUUUGUCAAACUUAAAUUACUAUCAUAAUAGUACUUUUUU
rnacentral:tRNA from 1 species